CUGCCCACUGAUAAAUUUUUUAAAGGGCCGCGGUAUCCUGACUGUGCAAAGGUAGCAUAAUCGUUAGUUUUUUAAUUGGAAUCUUGUAUGAAUGGUUUGACAAAAGAAAAUCUGUCUUUAUAAUUAUUUAUUGAAUUUAACUUUUAAGUGAAAAGGCUUAAAUAAAUUAAAAAGACGAUAAGACCCUAUAAAGCUUAAUAUUAAAUUUUUAUUUAAUUAAAUUUUGAAUUAUAAUAAAAAUUUGGUAAAUAAAUUUUAUUUUGUUGGGGUGAUAAUGGUAAAAUGAUUAUUAACUGUUAAUUUUUUUAGACAAAAAUAAGUGAAUAAGUGAUUUAUUAAUAAAGGAUCCUGUAUUAAAGAUUAAAAGUUUAAGUUACUUUAGGGAUAACAGCGUUAUUUUUUUUGAGAGUUCUUAUCGAGAAAAAAGUUUGCGACCUCGAUGUUGAAUUAAAAUAUCUAUAUAAUUGUAGCAGUUAUAUAAGAAGGUCUGUUCGACCUUUAAAAUUUU
rnacentral:rRNA from 1 species